rnacentral:rRNA from 1 species
UAUCUCUGUAGAGUCUGCAUAUCAAUAAGCGGAGGAAAAGAAACUAACUAGGAUUCCCUCAGUAACGGCGAGUGAAGCGGGAAGAGCUCAAAUUUGAAAUCUUCAAGGUUCUACCUUGACGAAUUGUAGUUUAAAGAAGUGUUUUCUGUUGGAGUUUCGGUAAAAGUUCUUUGGAAUAGGACAUCAUAGAGGGUGAGAAUCCCGUAUUUGACCAUUACUUUCCAGCUUUGUGAUACACUUUCAAAGAGUCGGAUUGUUUGGGAAUGCAGUCCAAAAUGGGUGGUAAAUUUCAUCUAAAGCUAAAUAUUGGCGAGAGACCGAUAGCGAACAAGUACCGUGAGGGAAAGAUGAAAAGAACUUUGAAAAGAGAGUUAAACAGUACGUGAAAUUGUCAAAAGGGAAGCGUUUGACACCAGUGUUGUUUUCAUCGAAAAUCAAUUAAAAAAGGCUGGAUUUUGUAUUGUAAUUGACCUUUAUCAGCUUACUGCUACUCUUUUCUUGUCUUUUUUAAUGCACUUUUCGUUUAACAAGUCAACAUCAAUUUCUUUUGUUGUAAAAGGGUCAUUGGAAGGUGGCUUUCUUUUCGGAGAAAGUGUUUAUAGCCUUUGGCCUCUGCAAUCGGAGAGAUUGAGGUCUGCAGCGUAGAUCCUUCGGGGUUAGAUACAUUUGUGCUAAGUUAUAACCGUUUCAUAGACAACUUGUUGACUAUGAUCAGUCAUGUAGCUUACUCGCUUAUGCUAUUUUACCUACGCUUAGGAUGUUGACGAUCAGCUGAGCGCG